UCUAGAGUUUUUAGCCACCACUUGUUGAAGCUGUGUAAGCUCCACCCCUCUCUGGUUGUGGACCAAUCACGGGAGCUGCUGGAGUUUGCUGGAACCACCACUAACAUCAACAGCAAAGAAGACCUGUACACACAUGUGGUGUGGGUGCUAGGUGAGUACCUGUCGGUGUCAUUUGACUCUCGGUGUUCCGUGGAUCUGGUUACUUCCUGUUUCGAGGCAUUGGAGGCAGUCCUCUUCGAGAUCACUUCCUCUGGAAGCCCCUCCCCCAGGGUGGUUACCUCCUUACUGAGCGCGCUCGCUAAAUUGGCUUCCCGUUCCCACGACCUCAUACCCAGGGUUUCUCUGUUCCUCUCUAAGCUUCGUAGCGGAGCAGUCUCCUGGUGUGGCAGCGAGGAGGAUGUUGUCGCCGUAGUGACCAGAGGGGAGGAGUUAUGGUCGCUGCUGAAACUUCCGAGCGUGGCGCUGAGUGUCCUGACCCCGCCUCCCCUCGCCACUUCCCCCCGCUGGCACCGAGACGCCAACGCAUCGCUGCCUCCUCGACUCAGAACGCUGACUGGCCUCACACACACACACGCUAAAAUAUAAUCACAGCUUCACAUAGACCUUAAAUUAUCACCUCGACUCAGAACGCUGACUGGCCUCACACACACACACGCUAAAAUAUAAUCACAGCUUCACAUAGACCUUAAAUGAUCACCUCGACUCAGAACGCUGACUGGCCUCACACACACACACGCUAAAAUAUAAUCACAGCUUCACAUAGACCUUAAAUGAUCACCUCGACUCAGAACGCUGACUGGCCUCACACACACACACGCUAAAAUAUAAUCACAGCUUCACAUAGACCUUAAAUGAUCACCUCGACUCAGAACGCUGACUGGCCUCACACACACACACGCUAAAAUAUAAUCACAGCUUCACAUAGACCUUAAAUUAUCACCUCGACUCAGAACGCUGACUGGCCUCACACACACACACACACACACACACACGCUAAAAUAUAAUCACAGCUUCACAUAGACCUUAAAUGAUCACCUCGACUCAGAACGCUGACUGGCCUCACACACACACACGCUAAAAUAUAAUCACAGCUUCACAUAGACCUUAAAUUAUCACCUCGACUCAGAACGCUGACUGGCCUCACACACACACACGCUAAAAUAUAAUCACAGCUUCACAUAGACCUUAAAUUAUCACCUCGACUCAGAACGCUGACUGGCCUCACACACACACACGCUAAAAUAUAAUCACAACUUCACAUAGACCUUAAAUUAUCACCUCGACUCAGAACGCUGACUGGCCUCACACACACACACGCUAAAAUAUAAUCACAGCUUCACAUAGACCUUAAAUAAAUUUUGUACUUGUAGAUUACCAAAAGUAUUAGGGACAGUGACACAUUUUUUGUUGUUGUGUACAAAAUCAUCUGAAACACAACCAAAACAAACAGCAAAUACAUCCAACAGGUUUGUAGAGUCACAAAGCUUGAUGUAGUUAUUGAGUGCUAUGAAUUAUGGGACCAAAUACUACACUUUUGACUUUUGGUCCCCUAAAAUGGGGGGGAACUAUGUACAAAAAAUGCUGUAAUUUCUAAAUGUUUCACCUGAUAUGGAUGGGAAUAGCCUCAAAUUAAAGCUGUCUGCACUUUAA